UUUGCCCUUGAGGCGUGGCUUCCGGAGCUAACGCGUUAAGUCGACCGCCUGGGGAGUACGGCCGCAAGGUUAAAACUCAAAUGAAUUGACGGGGGCCCGCACAAGCGGUGGAGCAUGUGGUUUAAUUCGAUGCAACGCGAAGAACCUUACCUACUCUUGACAUCCAGAGAACUUAGCAGAGAUGCUUUGGUGCCUUCGGGAACUCUGAGACAGGUGCUGCAUGGCUGUCGUCAGCUCGUGUUGUGGAAAUGUUGGGUUAAGUCCCGCAACGAGCGCAACCCUUAUCCUUUGUUGCCAGCGGUUAGGCCGGGAACUCAAAGGAGACUGCCAGUGAUAAACUGGAGGAAGGUGGGGAUGACGUCAAGUCAUCAUGGCCCUUACGAGUAGGGCUACACACGUGCUACAAUGGCGCAUACAAAGAGAAGCGACCUCGCGAGAGCAAGCGGACCUCAUAAAGUGCGUCGUAGUCCGGAUUGGAGUCUGCAACUCGACUCCAUGAAGUCGGAAUCGCUAGUAAUCGUGGAUCAGAAUGCCACGGUGAAUACGUUCCCGGGCCUUGUACACACCGCCCGUCACACCAUGGGAGUGGGUUGCAAAAGAAGUAGGUAGCUUAACCUUCGGGAGGGCGCUUACCACUUUGUGAUUCAUGACUGGGGUGAAGUCGUAACAAGGUAACCGUA
rnacentral:rRNA from 1 species